UACAGAGGUCUCAAGCGUUGUUCGGAUUCAUUGGGCGUAAAGGGUGCGUAGGUGGCGUCGUAAGUCGGGUGUGAAAUUUCGGAGCUCAACUCCGAAACUGCAUUCGAUACUGCGGUGCUUGAGGACUGGAGAGGAGACUGGAAUUUACGGUGUAGCAGUGAAAUGCGUAGAGAUCGUAAGGAAGACCAGUGGCGAAGGCGGGUCUCUGGACAGUUCCUGACACUGAGGCGCGAAGGCGUGGGGAGCGAACGGG
rnacentral:rRNA from 1 species